rnacentral:snoRNA from 1 species
CCCUUCUGUCAAUGGGCAAAGAGACACCUUGUUGGUGGUGGAGUUCUUUUAUCAGUUAGGGCCGUUCAUCCUAGCUUGAUAACUGGCUUGGUGGCAAAACCUGUUUUAUGCCUAGGACAUAUAA